GUAUUUCUUAAUCCCUAUCUUGCUUGUUUAUACAGUCAAGCCACCUCAGGAUGGCUGUUCUCUUGCUGUGUGUAUGUCCCCUGCUGGACCCGUCCCUGCUUUACCUAUAUACUACUCACAUGACCUGCUUGCCCUGAUCCAGCUAGUGAUCGUUCUCAUCCUUAGGCCAGAAGAGCUCCACUUGCUAGUUUAUUAAAGGGAAACCUCUGCCCUCUUGAAGCUCCAUAAAUUAAGGGACCUUGAGAGACCUGCUGCUCCACCUUCUGGUUUCCCUGGUAACUAAUAGGCCAACCAGACAUCAAUUCACUAUAUAAAAAGUAGACUCCUCCUCCACUGAGUAGCAAAGAUGGCUGCUAUAGCUUGUUGUGUGCUCGCCGGCCUGCCCGCCAGCUUACACACAUUGUGGAGUGUCACUCUAGGAAAUUUUGCUUCAGACAUGUAUGAGCAUCCCAGGAGCAAUCACUGCAGUGCUUACACCACAUUAAUCCAAAAAUAACAAGUCACCCCAACCUGAAUUCAACUGUUUUAGCCCUUGCUGCAGGAUCUAUCCCCAGAAACACACAUGAAAAAACCCUGGGGCUGACAGAACCUGGAGGAUUGAACCUAUAGAAUUUUUCCUCUACAUUUUCUGCAAACUGACAACUGGAUCCAGAUGCUUGAUCAGCCUCCGAUUUGAUUCCCUUGCCAAGGCCAUAGGAGUGAUGUGUUCUUUCAUCAGGAGCUAGAAUAAAUUUAUAAGAAGAUGUCUUCUCUAGUCUACUAUUUGGUUACUCAGUUAAUAGGAAAGUAAAGACAAAUGCUUCACUCUUUUAUGUAACCAGUUUAUACUGUAUCAUCCUGAGGUUGCCAAUAACUAAUUUUUCUGCAAUUGUAUGAAUUCAUGGAUUUAAGCACAUUGCAAUUCUUACCCUUAUUGAAGCCUUCUUUGACAUGACCCAAAUAAAUCUCUGAUGUUAUGUUAUUUUAU